rnacentral:rRNA from 1 species
GAUGAACGCUGGCGGCGUGCCUAAUACAUGCAAGUCGAGCGAACGGAUAAGGAGCUUGCUCCUUUGAAGUUAGCGGCGGACGGGUGAGUAACACGUGGGUAACCUACCUAUAAGACUGGAAUAACUUCGGGAAACCGGAGCUAAUGCCGGAUAACAUUUGGAACCGCAUGGUUCUAAAGUAAAAGAUGGUUUUGCUAUCACUUAUAGAUGGACCCGCGCCGUAUUAGCUAGUUGGUGGGGUAACGGCCCGCCAAGGCGACGAUCAGUAGCCGACCUGAGAGGGUGACCGGCCACAUUGGGACUGAGACACGGCCCAA